AACUGAGGUAAAAACUAACUGUGAGUUAUAUGCGCUUACAAAUAAUAGUCGAUAAACUGAGGUAACAACUAACUGAGAGUUAUAUGCGCUUACAAAUAAUAGUCGAUAAACUGAGGUAAAAACUAACUGAGAGUUAUAUGCGCUUACAAAUAAUAGUCGAUAAACUGAGGUAAAAACUAACUGAGAGUUAUAUGCGCUUACAAAUAAUAGUCGAUAAACUGAGGUAAAAACUAACUGAGAGUUAUAUGCGCUUACAAAUAAUAGUCGAUAAACUGAGGUAACAACUAACUGAGAGUUAUAUGCG